rnacentral:rRNA from 1 species
CACUUGGGGAUGAGCUUGCGAACCAUCAGCUGGUUGGUAGGGUAAUGGCCUACCAAGGCUAAGACGGUUAGCUGGUCUGAGAGGAUGGUCAGCCACAUUGGGACUGAGACACUGCCCAGACUCCUACGGGAGGCUGCAGUCGAGAAUAUUUAGCAAUGGACGAAAGUCUGACUAUGCGACGCCGCGUGCAGGAUGAAGGUCUUCGGAUUGUAAACUACUUUUGUAAGGGGAGAAUGACGGUACCUGACGAAUAAGCCACGGCUAACUCCGUGCCAGCAGCCGCGGUAAUACGGAGGUGGCAAGCGUUACUCGGAAUUAUUGGGUGUCAAGGGCAGGUAGGCGGCAUUGUAAGUGAGGGGUGAAAUC